AUUUGGACCUGCAGUAAGGCUGCAAGGAGUCCAUUCUCCUGCGAGCUCCUGCAAGGGACGGGGAGCAGGUCUCUGUGUGUGGCUCCCACUGAGCACGAUCAUGGCACCCAAGACAUUCUUAAUGAGCGAGUGUUAAACUGAGCUGUGCUGCCAAAGCCCAGGGGGUGACUGGUCUAAGAUCACCCAGAGUGUGGCCAGGACUCAGCCUUUGUCUGUGGGGCCCUCCAGCCCGCCUCACUAUGGAGCAUCCUCAGUGCAUACCUGGGACACAGAAGCCAAGGCCUGCACCGGCCUUCACCCACCGAGCCAAGCAGCUGGACUGUCAGACUCGGGGAUGGGCAUA